rnacentral:rRNA from 1 species
UACAGAGGUCUCAAGCGUUGUUCGGAUUCAUUGGGCGUAAAGGGUGUGUAGGUGGCGCCGUAAGUCGGGUGUGAAAUUUCGGAGCUUAACUCCGAAACUGCAUUCGAUACUGCGGUGCUUGAGGACUGGAGAGGAGACUGGAAUUCAUGGUGUAGCAGUGAAAAUGCGUAGAUAUCGUAAGGAAGACCAGUGGCGAAGGCGGGGUCUCUGGACAGUUCCUGACGCUGAGGCACGAAGGCCCAGGGGGAGCAAAACGGGG